UACGAAGGGGGCUAGCGUUGUUCGGAAUUACUGGGCGUAAAGUGUGCGCAGGUGGCUUCGCAAGUCGAGUGUGAAAUCCCCGGGCUUAACCUGGGAAUUGCGCUCGAAACUACGGAGCUGGAGUGUGGCAGAGGAAGGUGGAAUUCCACGUGUAGCGGUGAAAUGCGUAGAGAUGUGGAGGAACACCAAUGGCGAAGGCAGCCUUCUGGGCCAACACUGACACUCAUGCACGAAAGCGUGGGGAGCAAACAGG
rnacentral:rRNA from 1 species